CAAAAAUGCCUACAAUACAAGGCUGACUCGGAAAUUGGGCUGCUCAGAGAACAUUUCAAGGAGAACCUGGCAUGUACUGUCAAGUCUGAAAAAUACAAAAGGACUUAGACCUGUCCUGGGUGUCUUUUGGAAUGGUGCCUUUUCUCUGGACCAGAUCCCAGGAGGCCCUGGUGAGUGCCUUUGAAUAAUGUGGAUACAGGGACAUAACUAUGGAAGGAAUCCCAUGCAGUGCCUAAAGGUAACUGAACGCUGAGAGCACCAUCAGUCUUGAUAAGCAGAAGAAUGUUACAUAAGAAUGAAUUGAAAUGACUGAAGAAUGCCAAAGCAACCAGGGAUAUUUUCUCAUGCGGGUCAGGGAUGCUUGGAGAACACCUCACACCAGUCCUCAAGAUCUUUCCUGAGAUCCUCUAAGGCUUGAAGACAUCUAAUUCCAAUUGAAGUAACUGCAUGGGGAAAAACAAGAGCAACAACAACAAACAGCUUCACUCUUCUGGGUGGAAACAUGCAGUUGUACCAAGAGAGGCCGGUUCUCCUUCUUUCACAUAGUACUGAACAGAUGAGGCUAAGUUGACACCACAACUGAUGAUCCCCAGGCUGAAAGGAAUGGGUAGCCUGGCUGUGAUUUUUGGAUACGUGGCACACUUCAAGAUUACUGUGUUGUUCAAAUUAACCUGUUGGAAUGCACCUUUCCUCGACGACAUUUCCUUGAACUCCGAAUGAGAGCAGUGCAGGAGGAUCCCCAACUUAAGGACUGGCUGUAUUUCAAAGGUCAUCUCUAAGUCUGAAUGUUUCCACAAGAUAAAAAAUUCCAAGAUAUUCUUAAGUCCAAUAUUAUAAAUAGUUAUUAGUUUCGUAGAUAAUGCAUUGUUUCUCGAUGAAGCCUUCUCUGAUUAUUUUAAUCAAGAGUAACUUUUUUCCUCUUGUA